GAGCUUGCUGGUGUCCGUAGGCUAUAUUGAUAUGCAGGUUAAUUCUGUAUUUAGCUUUUGUGCACCUCACCAUUGUUUUCCACUGGUGGCUGCUGCUGUAGACUUUCAAAGAAGACUUGAAAUCCAAAGGAUUAAUCUCAAUCUGAAAGUAGCUGCAUUAACUGAAUCCUGCUGGGCGAAGUAUGUGCCGCAUCUAUGUGCGCCUUUCAUGUUUUCCUCUAGGUUAAUUCCAUUGGUGUGCUAGGGUUGUAGCAGUUCCAUACUGUUACAAAAAGAAGCAUUUUUUGUAGAGUUGUCACGAUAAUACCAACAUUGACGGUGGAUAAAUUCAUUGACUGUACCACUCACUCAUUGCUGCUAAGAACAGGAGUUUUGAUUUACAGUUUCAAGCAAAAUUUAUUUGGCAAACUCCCUUCCAUGAGUUAAGGUAUGUUUGUACUUUUGAGAAAUUUUCUCUCUUUUUCAGUAUUAUUAAUAGUUAUUGAAUUUUAAAGUUUUUAAGUAACUGCAGAAUUGUCGAACAUUUCUCGAACACAAUGCUGUUAGUAACUUCUUUUGUUCGAGGAAAACAGUAGGCUUCCUUACUGUAUUCUUGUAUAUGUAAUGCAAAGAAGACGAGAGGCUGUGCAGCCCUGAAGUUGGAGCAGCAGCACCAGGCUAGAUAAAAAGCACUCACAUGUACAGUCCUCUAAUCUGGGAGUAAGGUUUUCUGUUAGCUCUGUGCAGAACUGUUGAUAACUUGACAAUUUUAUAUUGAUCAAUCAUGAACCAUUCAGUUUGCUGACCCUUGUUUCCUGUAGUGACCACUAAAGCAAUGUGUCAAUGUGUUGCUGUAUCUGGGCUCACCGCUGUUGCUGUAAACAGUUCUGAAAGCAACAGUGUGCUAUGGGAGUUUUGUUUGGCAGUGUAAGUUUAAAUUGUCUCAUGCUUGCUUUGUGUUAGAAUUCAGUCUUAAAACGCUGCCGGACGCGAGAAGCUGUUGGUUGAAGUAAAGAUAAAUAUCAGGGGCAACUACUGUUAGAAAAUAUGCGAACGAUCGCGGAAAAAUAGAUGGGAGAGACGUUAUUUGUUAACGAGGUUCACUAUUAUGGCUACCUCUCGGGGCAAUGACCAUAGCCGCACCUUCCCAUGUACUGAAUCGACAUAGUAUAGUACAGAUCGACGACAAGCCUGCGCACUGAUGCCAUUAGACACAUCUCCACCAUGCGCAAUGGCCGGUCCGGGCAUCCCUUGCCAUUGGUACCUGGACCGAUUUCAAAUGGUAACCGUGUGUGCACUCGAGUGUAUUGAAACACUUUCGGAUUGUGCGCCCAUCAUACACGACUCUUAACUCUCUUAGCUCCCUUAGUACUCGUCGCCCAUUUAAAUUUGAGUUGGGAUGGUUAGUUAGGUGGGCUUUGCUGACUUAGAGUGCGUGCGAGAAGCUUGUCGUUGGUCAAAACACCGAUUCAGCACCGAUUCAGCGAUGGAACUUUAAGAUCAUAGCCUGAAGGUGAUUCCAAUUUGGAUGGACGCAACACACUAGUGGUAUUUAUGAAAAAGAGAAGCAGUGUCGUUCCAGGAUUACUGAUGAUCUCGAUAAAAUCACAGAGCCUCGCAUUUGUGAGACCUCAAUAGAUUGAUUGAAAACAUCAAUCCAAUGAGAAGAUUGGAUGUCUUUUUCUAGAAGAGGAAAUCAAGUGGUAUAGAAGAUCUGACCCCUGUUCCAUUUUGGAGGGAGACAACAAUACACGAUACUUCCACAUGGUUUGCAAACCGCAAGUGCACAUCGUUUGCAAAACUGCACGAGUUUACCCGUGUGCCUUGUCAGCUACCCUGACAUGUUGGGCCCACCUCCUGACGGCACAACAAAUCCCAAGUGCGCACGUCAGGCUAGCUUACGCUUCUAUGGGCCCGUGUGGUUGAACGCGUCCAUCCUGACACCAGUGUCUACCACUUAAGGCAGGGAGGACCGAGGAGAGGCCCAUCCGGUGGAUCAAAGGCAAUGGACACUUGGUGGCUACCUCUCCCCCUUUCACCUCUCGCAAGACUAGUUCAUCCAUUUGGGUAACCGACUCAGUAAUCGGGACUAGCUACCCAAUUUCCAAAGAUAAUCGAGUGAUUUGGUGUGGGUGCUAACAUCUGGUAUCAGAGACAAGGCACCACCUCUUCGCUUCGCUCGGUCUAGUACAAUUCGCCGAGACAAGGCGUCUACGGUAGACUCAUCUUCACCUUGAAGCAAUGGAUCUGCACAGAGUACCACGACUACUCUCACAGCUUGCUCACAUGAAAGCCAGUAUAUGAGGACGUGUGAUCGUCUGUUGUUAAUCUCAUGAAUGCCAGCAUGCGCUGACGCGUUUCCCCGGAUUGAAUGAACUUCAUAUGUAGGCUGACUUCACCAAUUCUUGUUGGCUUCAAAGCUUGGCAAAACGUGCUACUUAUCGUCCCUAAGGGCGAGUCAGCGCAUACUUUACCUUGCAGGAAUCAUCAGGAAACUUGGAUGGUGAGGCCCAUGGUUACAAGUUUCCAUAAUCUUCGGGUAGUCAUGGGCCUCGCCUACCCGGAGAUUGUGGAAACUUGUAACCAUGGGCCUCGUCGUCCUUUAUAAGGCGAGGUCAGGCUAGUCAAUAGGCACCUUACAAUCUCAUACUUUCACCCACUCGAUACACCCACGAUUGUCAUUGUACCAUGUGAUGUCCAUCUAUCAAUAACAAUAAAAGAGCAGUAAGUAGGGUUUUACUUCCACCGAGAUGACCGAAGCCUAGGUAAACCUUGCCUCUUUGAUUCCCAUCCCGAUCGUUCAGCUAGACAUGACACCCUACUGAGGGAUCUACCAGAUUUUGCACCAACAUAGGUUUGAUUGUACUUGAGUUUUCAUUGUGUUUGGAGUAGUUGUAGUUUCUUGUUUCUUCAUGUAAGAGAUGCCUACCAUAUCAUAAGAUUCCUAGUAUUAAAAAUAGGCACUUGUCAGAAUCCAGAAGACAAAGCCUCUAGGUUAUAUUUUUUGGUAGACUUUUAUGCGAAAUUCUUCUGGAGUAUCUGCAUCAUAUUGUAUUCUCUUGAGAUCAUACGCUAACUAUGAUCCACCAGGUGCAUGUUGAGGAGUUGAAAUUUAGAAGACUUAAUUAUGGGAUGGUUACUCUGAUUCCUAAAAUGAAUGAUGCUGUAACUACUCCCUCCGGUCCUUUUUACUCUACAUAUAAGAAUUGUCUGAAGUCAAACUUCACAAAGUUUGACCAUAUUUAUACGAAAAAAUAUCAACAUCUAUCAUGCAAAAGUUAUACACUAUGAAACUUUAAGUCAUGAGCAUCUACAGGUAUUGAUUUCACAUUGUGAAUAUUGGUAUUUUUCUUUAUAAAGUUGGUCAAACUUUACAAGGCUUGACUUCAGGCAAAUCUUAUAUGCGAACUAAAAAGGACCGGAGGGAGUAUCACUUGCCCCCGUUGGUCGAAGUAUCUUAGUCGGUGCACUCCUCAUAUCCUCUUUUUGUACCUAAAGUAUUCCCAGUUGAUAAUACAAACAUAGUUUUAUUCUUAAAAACAAUACAACCUAAAUAUGAUUCUCCCUUAAAAUAAAUAAAUAAAACUGUGAUGUAAGAAACACAAGAGGUAAUGACCAGAUCAUCCAAUAUAUACCCUAAAAGUUCAUCAAAUAUAUGUGCGGCGAGUGUGUCGCAAAAAUGUUCAUUUCGAUAGCACACCACUGAAAAUAAAUAAAUACUAUUUGCUCUGUAAAUAUUUCUUUGCAGAGGGACUACUACUACAAUUUUACCACCAGCUCGUUUUCCUUGGUCUUGCGUCUAGAUUUCCAUUUUGCAAAAAAAGAACAGUUUUUUUGGGGGGCAUUUUCUUGCAUCUGCUGAAAAAACAAAAACAAACCAUUUUUAGCCGUGUGGCCUGUGCUUUUUUGCCGUUUUAUUAGGGGUAUGCGGCCUGGGCUCGCACAGCAGACGCGGUCGACGCAGGGCCACGCGAGCCCACUGAGGCAGCAGGUCGGCACUACGAGACGGACGGGAGACUCGCGGUGGGUCAACCAGUCCUUCUCCUCCUCCUUGUCGUCCGCCGCCGAAGUUGAAAAAGAAGUCCACUCCGCCGCCGUCCUCCACUCAACCCUCAUCUCCAUUCCCAGUUCCCACCCUGCUGACUUAUCUCUUGGCCGCGCCACUUGUAGUGGCGGCUACAUUGGCUGGCGAGCGAGCAGGAGAGCAGCGCGAGCGCUAGCGGAGGUCAUCGUCCGGAGGGCGGAGGUACGAAAUGGCCUCCUUUUUCUUGUCACGGUUUCAGGCAGUUCCUCCUGCAACUCAGAGCUCUGUGGAAGAUAAGCUCCGAUCCAUCACUUAUUGAUGAUCCACAGUUACUACAAACUUGGGAAGGUGGAUCUCCUCAACCUUUUCAGUUAUUGAUGUAUGCAGGCGUUUCCCAGUUCUCUACAUUGUUUUUACUUUUUAUUUACUGAUUAUGUUCUUGUUCUAUAACUUUUUUUUUCAGAGCCCCUCAGUUUCUACAAGUUCCCUGACGAUGAGGUCGUUCCUAUCAUCCGUGGAUCUGGCUUGUCAUCCACGGAUGGCCGUGGUUAUCCUCCCCCUCCUCUUCCUGCCCCUCGUGCCUCUCGCCGCUGCCCAAGCUUGGCCAUUUUGUGGCGACAGCGGUGUCUACGAACCAGAUAGCACCUACCAAGCCAACCUCAGGCACCUCUCAUCCACCCUCCCGAAGAAGGCAGCAUCCAGUACCACCCUCUUCGCCACCGACACCCAUGGCAAUGUUCCGAAUGUCAUCUUCGCCCUCGCACUCUGCCGCGGGGACUCCAACGCCUCUUCCUGUGAGGGCUGUUUGGUUACCGCCUUCCAGGACGGGCAGGAGCACUGCCCCAACAGCAAGGACACCACCGUGUACUACUAUAGUAAUCCCUGCAUGCUCAGGUUCUCCAACAAGAAUUUUCUUGCCACCACCCACAAUGACAAAAUACUCGUUGCGAGCAUGGAAAUGCCGCUCAACAUCUGGACAAGAGGUGACUCCUUCAGGCGCUUGUUGUUCACGCUUAUGGACAACACAGCUCAAUUGGCUACGAACAGCUCGAGGAGGUUCGCCACCUCGCGCUUAGACGUCACCUUCUUCCCGACGGUCUACUGCCUUAUGCAGUGCACGCCAGACCUGACCGCCGACGACUGCACCGCAUGUUUGCAGCCUUACUUCCAGUAUACAGUCAAAUACAUGUAUGGUAAGGAAGGUGGUAGAGUACUGGGGACACGGUGUACCAUGAGGUACGAGAUAUUCCCAUUCUUCCAAGGGAAGCCCAUGCUGCGUAUUAUCAACUUGCUAUCUGAAGUUCCGCCGAUCAACAACACCAUGCCCCGGGUUACCGUGAACCCACCCCCACGGCCACAGUCACAGUCACAGUCGCCGGUUGCGGCACCACCACCUCCAGAGGCGCAAGCGAGCACCCAAGAACUUCAUGGUAUGUGAAUUCUCAUCCUUCCUGACACAUCUUGCGUGAUACAAAUUUUUUAUUAGAAAAUUCUAGGAAAAGAACUUUCCAUUUUUGAAAAAAGAGUGAACUCCCUUUGUCUUUCCGUUGAGUGACGAUGCACGCAGAUUACGCCCGAAGGUACUUAUAAUUAUAUAUUUAUAUGAAAACUAUAGAUGAAUUCGUCUUUUUUUUAGGACGCAACUCACACCGGAAGGCACUGUGGAUUAUUGCUAUUGCAGCUCCAUUACUGUCAAUAUGUAUGUGCUUUAUCUGUUGCAUUGUAUGGAUGACAAGACGAAGAAAAGGUUUGUUGUUAUCACGGUUACAAACAUUGCUCUAAAACACUACCGCACAUUUAUGUAGUCGGCCUUAACGUUGUAAAUUUGUGUGUCCUCUCAAUUUAGGAACUGAUAUCUUACACGAUCAAGCUGCCACGACCACGAAUAGGCUGGAAGAAGAUGCAUUGGUUUCGAGAUUGGAAGACAAGAGUUCAGAGUUCACUCUCUUUGAAUUUUCUAAGAUAUUGCAUGCUACACACAACUUCUCCAAAGAAAACCUACUUGGGCAAGGUGGUUUUGGUCCUGUCUACAAGGUAAAUGCAUUGUCCAGGAAAGAUUCAAUCAAUAUUCUUUCUAAAAAAUAUAUUAAAUCACGAUUGCCUAAAAACAUCCUUAUAUAUUUAGUUAUUUAUAGUAGCGUUGUUUACAGUCUAUAAUGAAUCGUGCUAUGUGUGCUUAGUUUUUUAAGCUACCUUGGAAAAUAAUCUAUAUACAUUCCAAUAUCUACAAUGGUAGUUAUCAUAUAAUUUAUCUUGUAGUAACCUAUUAUAGAAAAAAGCGAAGCCACACGCUUUCCAUUAUAUUAUCGAUGCCCUAGAAUGAAAAUAAUAAUAAUGCAGAUGGUUGCUUGAUAAACAUAUAGUGUAUAUAGCCUAAAAUCCAAUGUUAUAUUGUAUCUCAACCAAAUAUGAUUAGCACAAGUAACCUCAUACGGGGCCUUAAACUAGAAAGAAAAAAUUAAGGAACUCUUGAUAAACAUGCUUAUUUUGCCCUAAAAUGCACUGAAAUGGAAUAUUAAGACAAUGUAUUGGAUAUGUGAUGUUGUAUAUCCCAAAAGUCUUCCCAUUGAUGGCAUGUGAUUCAUUUUCUGCAAUUUCAAUAAAAUAUAAUGCCUCCGGUUAUGUACAUACUUCCAGGGCCAAUUACCAGAUGGAGUGGAAAUUGCAGUUAAAAGGCUUGCCUCACAUUCAGGACAGGGUUUCACAGAAUUCAAAAAUGAAGUUGAACUUAUUGCGAAACUACAGCACAAUAAUCUGGUCAAGCUCAUAGGAUGCUGCAUUGAGGGAGAGGAAAGACUUUUGGUGUACGAAUAUUUGCCAAAUAAGAGCCUGGACUUCUUUAUCUUUGGUAUGCACAAUGUAGGUUAACCAUUAUUUUCGAUCGUGUUUCAGCCAUACUAUAAAAUGCACUCUCUAAUGUGCAGAUGUUAGCCGAACAACUUUGGUUGAUUGGAAUAAAAGAUGUAUGAUAAUCGAAGGGAUAGCCCAAGGUCUACUGUAUCUCCACAAGCACUCUCGGUUGCGCAUCAUACACAGGGACCUUAAGGCCAGCAACAUUCUCUUGGACCAGGGGAUGAAUCCCAAAAUUUCUGAUUUUGGGUUAGCAAAAAUUUUCAGCUCCAAUGAUAUUCAAGGAAGCACAAAGAGGGUGGUGGGAACAUAGUAAGCAUAUGGCACGAUUAAUUAGAAAACCAUUAAUCAGAUGAUUCAUCAACCUUUAAAAUUUGACAUAUUAUUUUACUUAUGCUUCUAACUCAUUUCAGUGGUUAUAUGGCUCCAGAGUAUGCAUCUGAAGGCAUUUACUCGAUGAAAUCUGAUGUGUUCAGCUUUGGUGUGUUACUUCUCGAGAUUCUUAGCGGACAAAGGAAUUCUGGUUUCCAUCAGCACGAAGACUUUCUUAACCUCCUUGGAUAUGUGAGCAUUUUGCAAAUUCUCACACAAAUAUGUAUAUUAUUUGUAAGCCGAAGUAAUUUUUGGCAUGUACGUGAUGAUAAAUUAUCUGCAGUCAUGGCAGCUCUGGGAAGGAGGAAGAUGUCUUGAGAUUCUAGAAGCAUCAAUUGCUAAGGAGAUCCAUGCAGCGGAGGCUAGGAGGUACAUUAACAUUGCACUAAUGUGCGUACAAGAGCACGCAGAUGAUCGACCAACAAUGUCAAAUGUUAUUGCGAUGUUAAAUAGCGAGAGUGUUAUUCUUCCAGAUCCUAAACAUCCAGCAUACUUCAGCCUAAGGGUAUCUAAGGUAGAUGAAUCGGAUAAUAAUGACGUAACCGUCUGCAGUAAUAACGACUUAACCAUCACUGAGGAGCCAGAUGGCAGAUAGUUGAUCACCUUGGUUCAAUUGUUAAUGGAAGUGCUAGCAAUCAGACAGCAGGCAGGCAUACCAGGUCAAGUGAACUAGGGCAGACCAAGUAAGCCUAUCAUAUUUUUGUUAUGAAGGAUGGCGACCGGCGUAUCUCUGUAGCGGUUGUUCUGUCCUGCGGUGAAUGAAGCUUUUCACUGUAUGCAUAGGCCGUAUUGAUAUGCUGGUGUAUAUAGCUUUUGUGCACCGCACCAUCGUUUUCCACUGGUGGCUGCUGCGGUAGACUUUAAAGGAAGACUUGAAACCCAAAGGAUUUCAAUCUGAUAAUAGAUGUAUUUUUCCACUGGUGGCUGCUGCUAUAUAUAUACUUUAAAAGAAGACUUGAAAUCCAAAGAAUUUCA
rnacentral:lncRNA from 1 species